rnacentral:rRNA from 1 species
AUGUCAGAUGACUAUCGUCGAACACGCACGUCCCUGAACGAGGUGGAGCAGUUGGUGUUGCUUGACAUUAGGGGUAUGUUGCAGUCCAUGGGUAAAGACAUUGUUGAUUUCGCUCUUCCAAGCAUCGAUGAUGCGUUUGACCCAACCGAGGGCGAGUGUCGAGAGGUCAUAGAGAAAUCAACCGUUGAGUUUGACAUGGAUGACACUAAAUUGGCAUCUUCCCUGAACUUGGAACAAAGGGCCGCAUACGAUGAGAUAUUGGCAGUUAUUGAACGCGGUGUUGGGGGUGUAUUCUUUGUUGACGGCCCUGGAGGUACAGGGAAGACCUUCCUAUACAGGGCGAUGCUUGCGAAGGUGAGGAGUGAGGGCAAGAUUGGUAUCGCUACCGCGACGUCAGGCGUCGCCGCUUCUAUCAUGCCUGGCGGCAGGACUACCCACACGAGGUUCAAGAUACCAUUGAGUUGCGAUGAUGGAGCCUCGUGUAGCUUCACCAAACAGAGUGGGACUGCCAAGAUGCUUAGGAUGGCCUCAUUGAUAAUAUGGGAUGAGGCCAGCAUGACGAAGCGACAAGCGGUCGAGGCAUUGGACAAUAGCAUGCGUGACAUCAUGGGAAUACGCGACCGACCCUUUGAAGGAAAGACUAUUGUUUUUGGCGGGGACUUUAGGCAGGUGCUUCCGGUUGUCAGAAGGGGGUCGUGGGGCUAG